UACGAAGGGGGCUAGCGUUGCUCGGAAUCACUGGGCGUAAAGCGCACGUAGGCGGAUUGUUAAGUCAGGGGUGAAAUCCUGGAGCUCAACUCCAGAACUGCCUUUGAUACUGGCGAUCUUGAGUCCGGGAGAGGUGAGUGGAACUGCGAGUGUAGAGGUGAAAUUCGUAGAUAUUCGCAAGAACACCAGUGGCGAAGGCGGCCUGCUGGGCUGUUGCUGACGCUGAGGCGCGACAGCGUGGGGAGCAAACAGG
rnacentral:rRNA from 1 species